AAUUAUUUAGUUUAUUUAUUUUAAAACAAAUGUUUUGAAAACAUUAAAAAAGAGAAGACUUUCUUAGUAAUUA
rnacentral:tRNA from 1 species